rnacentral:rRNA from 1 species
CCCUUAGAUGUUCUGGGCCGCACGCGCGCUACACUGACGAAUGCAACGAGCUUAUAACCUUGGCCGAAAGGUCUGGGUAAUCUCCAAAUUUCGUCGUGAUGGGGAUAGAUUAUUGCAAUUAUUAAUCUUCAACGAGGAAUGCCUAGUAAGCGCAAGUCAUCAGCUUGCGUUGAUUACGUCCCUGCCCUUUGUACACACCGCCCGUCGCUCCUACCGAUUGAAUGGUCCGGUGAAGCGUUCGGACCGUGGCCUUUGGACGGUUAGCCGUCUGUUGGCUGCGGGAAGUUCGUUAAACCUUAUCAUUUAGAGGAAGGAGAAGUCGUAACA